rnacentral:sRNA from 1 species
UUUCAUCUACAAAGGAUUUGAGGUACUC